CAGAAAGAGUUGCUUUUCCAGCAGGUCCUGGAGAAGCACAGGUCACAUUUGUUUUCCUGCUCUUGCCUUCCAGCAAUAUGGACAUCAGAGGAAUGGAUGCCGAGGAAGUGAUGUGAGGAGGUGACACGCAGCUUCUUGAUGGCACUGUAUGGGUGCCCUGGGAUUAUCCUCUAAUUGAUGCCUCUGGGCUGGCGGAAGAUGAUGUGGUGCAGGAACAGGAGCAUGAAGGAGGAAUGCAGGAGGUUCUGCGGGCUGAUAAUGCCUUCUGUGAAGCCUGGAGAACAAGCAUAAUCCGUUUCAACCAGAGACCAGGGAAAUAACAUUUUAAAGCCAAGCAAACAGCUGACUGACCCAGGAAGGAUAAUUAACGAAGCUGAGCAAGAGCAAGGUGCAUUAAGGCCCAGCUUGCAUUGUGCUUUGACAGAGACUGGCUUAAAUUUCCCCACUGUGUUUCUGUUCUCUCCUCCUGGCCAUAUGUAUUGUGUGGCCUGCUUGAGCUGCCAGAUCUGAACACAAUCUACUUAGGACAUUUCAUCACAGAUCAAAUUAAAUUCCCUACUUCUCCGUCUCAUGACCCUUCCUGUGACAUUUACAGCAUUGAAGUAAAUUGUUAUUUUGAGCUGCUUCUGUAUUCCCCUGGAACCCAGCAAGAGGAAGGAGCCUCUUUAUGCUAGCAGUGGAGCACCUUAUGCUGACUGCCCUAAAGGUGGACUAAUCACCCCAGGGCUCAGAAAUGUGGAGAAGAACUGAGAAACCUUUAUUACUAUGUUGCUGAAGGCUAGGAAGCUGGAUCAGCUAGAGCAUAUGGCUGGGCACUGAGAGAGGAGCAGGAUCUGUUCUGUUUGGGUUCACCCACGCUGUUGGGCCCCACAUGACACUUGUCCCUUUGCCUUGGAUGUCAGGUGAUGCUACUGCAAGGCUGUGGGUCCUUGUGUGAACCAAGCAACAAUUGAGGUAAGUGUCCCACCGCGGUUUGGUUCUGCUUUGCAGAUCCUCUCUGACAGCAAGGAGCAAGCAUAGCGUGUGCUGGUGCCUGCUUCUCCAAGUCUGGGCCCCAGAGAGCACAUGGACUUACACUGGCCAGUGCUCUGUUCUUGGAGACCUCAGGGAUGGAUGCUGGCCAGUGCUCUCCUCUCCAAGAACCUGUUGACACUGCCUUUGGUCAUGGUGAAUAAACACUGGCUGUGACAUUGGCCACCUUUCAGUGACACCAAAUUAAUGCCACUGUUCUCAGAUGCUCAUGUUGCACUCAUCUCACCUUCCCUCUGACAUCCAUUCCUGCAGCUCUCUGGGCACAUGUGGCUUCUGCAGUCUUCUGGCCUUUUUCUUUUUUCCUAGCAUAGCCUCAGGAUGGUGGGAGGUGAGUACAUUGUGCAGCUCUGUGACUCUGCUUGGUGCAGGAUCCUCCAAAUUGUGCAUGACAGGAAUGGAAAGCUGUGACUUGAUAGCUGCCUGGAGGAACAGGUCUUACCGAGCCAGCUGACUGUGCAGCUGGAAGAGGUUAAAAAUUAGCCCUGCAAUAAUAGAUGUGAGUAAUUGACUUUCUGCUGGUUUUGUAAGUAGUGCCAGUGUCACUCCAAGCAACCUGAAGCAGGAAAAGGCAGGGGGAGAGGGAGGAAUGGGGUGGGAAUGGGCAGGAACUGGAAAUAUUUGCGGCUUAUUAUAUCAAACAAAGAAAGCCUUUGAUUUUUGUAAAGGGAGAGAUGCUUUGGUCAUGCUCCUCUGCAUGUCUCUCUUGAGAGGGUUUUAUGUAUAUUUUCCUCCAUUACCCCAAAGAUGUACUUAUCCACUUAAUUUACAGUACCAAGAAUGUUGAGUCUUCUCUUUACCAUUCAUGCACUGAAUGUCUUCAAAGGACACAGACAUGAAGAGGGGACUCUUUUGAAUAUCCCUUCCAUGCAGGGACCAGGUGAUUUCUCCUUAUUUCAAAAACACUUAACAUGGUGAGGCAUCUUUAGCAAAACUGUCAGAGAUGUAGCACAAAAAUCAGUUCCCCCACCAUACUUCAAUUUUACUGCACAGUUAACCUGGCCCCAUCUCAAGCAGAGACCUGCCAGUAUUUCUGUGACCUUGAUGGUGCUGUACUAAUCUGUGUGUGUAUGGCCACAGAGCCAGACUUCUCUGGUGCUCAGAGGCUGUGUGCUUAUUUUGCUGCCACUUGACUGCCACAGAGGAGCUACAGGAGGUGCAUUGGAGAAUCACCAGAAUUUAAAUUAUUUUUUUAUUUAAUUUUCCUGUCUGCAGUCACAGGGUAAAAGAGGUAAGGUCCAGUCCCAGGUUCUGCACUCUACAGCCAACCAUGUAAUCUGGUCUAAACCAGGAGCACACUCUGGCCUGUCAGAAGUUUAUCUUCUGUGUAUGGCAAGAGCCACUGAUUUUAAUUUGAGCCAGAACAUGGGUUAACUGUGCAGUGGAGAAAUAUCCCCUGAGCAGCUUCUCAGGAUGUCAUCAUAAGUCUACAGUUGUGGGAAACAGGGUGGUAAGACUUGAAUUUCUGGUGUUAAAAUUGGAGAGGAAUGAUAUUGCAGGUUUGGUUUUGUUUGGUUGUUGUUUUUUUUAAUUCAUCAAAAAGAAGUCACCUUGAAGGUCACCUUUUAAGAAUUCCUUGGCUGUUCCUGACAAGAUGGUAUGUGAGAAGCAAUACUGUUUUCUGUGAAAACAGCUCUGUGGAGAAAGGAGAGAGAAGGAGAAGGAGAAGAGUUACAAGUUCCUGUGCUGAAAGAUGUGAUUAUGCUGGACCAAGCACAGAAUCUAUUAUGGAGCAGUUAGCCUGCAAAGUCCAGGAACACAGGAAGGUUGGCAGAAGCAAUUAGGUUUGAGCCAAGUUUGCUGAAGUCAGUAGAAGAUUUGUGACGUCCAUGGUAAGAUGCUCAUAGAUGCCAGUAGGAUUUGGCCCGUGUCUUUUGAUAGAGGGGAAAUGGGAAAAAAAAGUUGGUGCAGUGAUUGUGCUGGCAGCCAAGGACACCGAGGAGCUGGAGGGUGUGGGAUAUGUAUUCCCUUCUCUGGCCCAGAGCUGUUUGUCUGUACUCUUGGCAAAAGAGCAGCUGUCAGUCACAGAGGUGUGAUGGGUAUAGACACAUUUGCAACUGAGAAUGAUCAGACACUGCAGUAAUGGCAACCAUGCAAGUGGCCAAAAAUAUUUGGAAUUCAGAGUGUUGGAUGUAUUGGCAUCAUGGAAGCUGAAAGGUUUCAUGAGCCAGGAGUCACUUAUUAAUCCCAGCAUGAGAAAUGGGAUGUGUUUGAUCUCUAUUGUGGAGAUCAUUAUAAAAUGCAAACACAACAUUAGCUUGUUUCAGGUCAGCACUCAACACAGUAUAAAAACAAGAUGGAUUUUAGCCUUUAUUUAACUGGAUUUAAUUACAUGCAUGAGCUUCAAAGUGCCUAAGGUCUAAUGGAUGGUGACCUAAGGUCUGAUUGAAAAAGCAACAACACCCUAAACCUUAAGUUUCUUUGUUAGACCACUUGGUAUGACUGGACCAUGUGAGGUUUCAGGGAGACAUGGAAGGAAUAAAGCAUCCAAAGCAUUUGCCAAGAUUUCUACCUUUACUCAGAAGAAUCUAAACACUGAUCUUGCCUGCCCUCUGUACCAACAUGGCUCAGGAGCUUGGCUAGGACAGAAAGGUGACAGUGUUUCCAACCACACCUCCCUGAAAAGCCUGCAGUGCUCUGAGACAGAGCAUGUUGAUACUUGGAAAAAAAAAUCAACCACUUGACUUUUCAGUUUGGGAGAUCCAUGUGGCUAGGAAAUGCAAAAUAUCCAGAUUUCAGGAAAAGAGGCAAUCAUCAAAGGCUCGCUAUCUAAAUUUAUUUUUUAUUUAGUGUUAGCAUGUCGGAUAUUGUGACAGUCAUCUAUUUGUAUCUCUGUGAUUGAUUUCAGAGAAUCCUAUUCACAAAAUCUCUCUUUUUACUUUGGAUAGCACAACACAGCUUUUUGUCAGCUCUGUAAAGGAUACCAGCCCUCAGCAGUCUCCAGGAAUCCCCUCAGUGGACCAACUGAUAUCCACCUGCUUUGUCUAUGAACCACACAGUUCAGAAAUGUCACAUCCACGUCCUCCUUGACUGCUGAGUGCCACCCAGACACAGAGUGGCGAGGACACCUGAUGGGUUGUGCUGGCACUGUGCUCAGCAGGGUGAGAUUUGCUGCCUGUUGUGUGCAGCAGUGCACCCAUCUACAGCUGGGGCACAGUCCUGAGGUGCUUCCAAUGCCUGACCAUUUUCUGGCAAGGAGACCCAGUCCAAGGCCCAUUGAUGUUGUGUGCUGGGCUGAGAUUCCAGAUGGUGGUUUUGUUCUCCACACCCCUUGAUCUUGGAAGACCCCCAUCAGACUUCUCCCUGGGGAAGCUGGUAGCUCAUGACCCUAAGGUGGGGAGUCUCUGGAAUCCCAGGUUGUGUGCAUUAUGGCACUUACCCUCAGUGACUUGCUUGAGUGUGCCUUCAGUGCCUGAGCCAUGGGAUCAAGGAAGGACCAGCACUAAGGCAAGGAAUAGGGCAGGAGAUCCUGACCAAGUCACAGUAGCCUCAGCCUGGUCCUGUUGAAGGUGUCCUGAAACUACUCUGUAAGACUGAUCCUUCUUAAAGAGUAAUUCAGCAUUCCAGAGGGAGCUGCUAAAUGACAAAUUUAAUUUGAUUUUCUCCUAUGUCCUCUCCCUCCUAUAUGUGCUCCUGUUCAUCGACAGAGCCCAUUAAUUCUCUGUCAGCUUCCUGCUUUUGCUGUGCUUGAAAAUGUCCCAUCAUUCCGUUUUAUGCCUUUAGCAAGUUGCUUUUCAUUUUCUUGUACUUUAUUUUUCUUUCACAUCCACUUUGUUAGACCGUGUUCUUUUGCAUCUUCCUUAACUCUCUGUCUUUUAAAGAAAUUAUUUUUAUAUCUCAGAAAUCUUACAUGGUUUAAUCAUGCUGGCUUACUUUUUCUUUCUGCUUUGAAUAUUUUUUAUUUGAUGAGGAGUCUGCUAUAGAGUGUCUCUAAACAAUCUGAUGUCAUCUAAAACUACUUUACUGGUUUUAGCUACUGAUUUCAAUGAAUUUUAUCACUUCUAUGUGAUUUCCCUUUUUAAAGCCAAACAUUUAGCUUGAUAUUCAAUCUAUGUAGUUCUUCUGAGAACUUGAAUCACUUUUAUCUCUCUCUCUGGCAUGAAUUGUUCUGACAUUUAUACUGUUUAAACCUGAUAUAAUAGUAUUUUACUAAUUAGAUUUUUCUAGAAAGUUUCCCAGUUACGUAGAUUGCCCAUAUCCUUAUUUGAAUUCCAGCAUUCUACUUCAUCAUCCCUUAUUUUCAGAUCACUGCCAUUUGUACCAAAAUGGUUUUAAGAGUGGUUGCAGACUAGCUACUAUUUUUGUGUACUUUGUGUGUGUGUGUGCGUGCACAUGCAUAUCACUUAAUUAGGGCUUCAUUUACAGAGACCUGUUUUUUAUGUUUCCACUUAUCCACAUUACCUUCUGUCCUAUCCCUUUUCUUUACAAAGCAGUUUGAGAGCUUCAACCAAACUGUGCAUUCUUCUACCUCUCCCUUACCCUGUCUUUAAUUUAAAACUAUUUUUAAACUCUGAUUCCAUUAAGGCCCAGAUCCUUUCUGUCUUAUUUACAUAGAUGUCAUUUUUUUCUACAUAUGCUUCACUUCUAUCAAUAACUUUCCCCUUUUCUAAUAAACCCAGCAAUGUGUAUAACAAUAGUUUUGAAAACUUCAAACAUUUAUUUUGCAUACAUAGAAUUAUUUAAUAUCACUUAUCAUUCAUCUCCAGGUUUUGAAGUACUCUCCCAUGCUGCUCACUUGUGCUCUUCCCCUCGCCACAGUUAAUAACACAAUCAGUCAUGCUGGAAAGUUACACCCAGCCAAUAUUAGGAAAUGCUCCCUCCUGCCUUGUAAAUCCCUGGUGCCACCAGCAAGAGUGGAGGAGGAGGCAGAGGAGGAGGAGGUGGAGGGGGCAGCAUUCCAAGCAUAUGGAUUCUCAGGCAAGGGAAAUGAAGCUGGGUACGUCACACAUGCUGCUUAUCGUGGUCACAUUCGCUCAUGGUAAAAUCUUUCCCACUGAACAACGGCUGGGAUUCUCACCAUCUGCUGCUCCAGUGGGAAUUUUGUGCUCCUUGGAGAUUUCACCCUCAUGCUGCAUUUUCACAGUACCUCUCAAGCAACGGAGCAGCCCCUUCCCUCUGCCCCAGUUGUGCCACUCUCCCUGCCCUUCCUUGGUGCAGGCACAGGGAUUCACCCAGCCCACGAGCAGCAAGGAACAAGGUAUCACACCAGCGUCUCUGUGUGGUUAAACUGAAGCUCUUCCACGCUGUGAGGUGGUCUCUGCAGCAUAGACAGGCUUUGUGUUUACAGCAUUCUCCUGUCCUUUAGAUGUUUUCCUGCUGUAAUGCACAGGACUGAUCAAAACUGGGAUGCACUGUCUCAUGAGCAAGACAAGCACAGGAUGAGGGACAGAUGUGAUAUGCACUCAAGGAGAACAAGUGUGACACCUCUCCUGUUUCCCUCUCCAGGUGCUUCGCAAGGCUCCCACCGUGCUGAUUUCCCUCUGAUCCAUGACCACAACACUGUGCGUCAGAUGUCACCCCAGAGCAGCACAGCUCUUUCCCAGGAGAUAAGUGAGGGGUUUUUUUGACUACACAAGAGUUCUCCUGAGCUUUCCCAUGAUGGGAGGGAAGGUGGGAGGGUGGAGAUCCGGCUUCCUCCCUGUCCAAGUGCCAGCCCCGUGGGCCUGCCAUAGCACUGCUGGGAAUAUCCAGGGGCAUUAUGCAAUUUGCAGAGGCGGUUUUUCAUGCUGCCUGGCAAGGCAGCGUCUGAUAAUGGCUCUCCCUUUGUUUGUAACACACAAUCGAGCUCAUGAUCUUCUCUCCAGUGCAGGCAGCCCACGGUGUUAUGUCCUGUACUGCUGUGAUGACGAGAACAGAGUUGUGCACAGGACAGGGAGCCCUGCAGCGUUUUCAUCAGUGAAUCACUGCUCCAAGUGCUCAUUUGGCACAAAUCAUUAGUGGUCUAAAAGGACUGGAAUAAUCUAGCUAGGCUCCCGGUGAAAGUGCAGAUUGUCUCUUUUUUAGGAGGCAUGGGAAACCCUUCUUAAAUCUGUUUUUAAACUUUGAAUUUGGCUUCUGAGUAAUGCCGCUGAUUUCAUUUUUCAAAGGUCACGGGAGAAUUCUCUUCUGCUAUCUCCAAAGGGCAUGACAAACGUUCCUGUAACAAAGUAAUGAAUUGUUCAACACAAUGCUCUUAGCAAUUACCUUGCCAUAAAGGUAUUUGCAGCAGGAGGGAAACCAACCCCGCACCACCAGCAGCAGUGUGCUGGCCUGUGAAGUGUCACUGCAAAUCCGGUUAGACAAGUGUGUGCCUGCCUCCCUGACCUCUUCCACUUGGCAGUCUUUUCUCUGCAUUUUUGUCUGAGAGGCUAAUGGGGGAGUGAACAACAGGAAUCAAACUGCCCCUCCAGCCUUAAGCUGGGCCCAGUACAUCCCAGUGCACAUGCCCUGGCUGAUUGGCUGGGUGGAGGCAAAAAGAGAUUUCAUUGCUCUGGCAUAUGGGUAAGUAGAGUCCAGUGCAAUCAGCCAUGUGUUUUUUCACCAGCAUGAAAUAAAAAUGAGACUAAGGAGACAGAGCCACAUUUGAUGUAAAGGCUGUUUGUGGCUAUGUAAUGGGCAGAUGUUCAUAACUGGUUUUGCUGCAGAAGAGGAAGCAGUGUAACAGCUCUCUGGAGUGAGUAUCCCAGGAGAACACCUAUUUUCUUGGGGCUGGGGGCUGAGAUGUAGCCCCUGGCUGGAGAGAGAACAUCAGUGGUGGAUUUCCAGUCUCUGUUUGAAAACCUGAGUGACCAUCACUGCUCCAGCAAUGCCUGUACAGAGCUCCCCUCCCUGAACUUUGGUUCACACACUGCUAGUAAAAAGAAAGAUUCUGUAGUUAAAGCAUCAAGAAAUAGAAAAAAGAAAAGUGUCUACAGCUCUGUCACCAAGUUAUCCUGCAUAUUUGCAGGUUAAUAUACAGAGUCUAGCCCCAUAGGGCACCUUUUCUCAUACUUGUCUCAUCGUGUUGUGUCUGGGCUUUGCAAUAACUGUCCUGUGGGGUAAACCAUGACAUCCUUGUAUUACGUGCAUUUGUGUCCAGCCUCAAAAUGUUAUUUCAUUCCCUGAGGUGAAUGCUGUUAUCAGGAGAAUGAAGUGUCCCAGUCCCCUGGCAAUUAUUCAUUAGGUAAGAUUUAAUGUGUCUGUGCAGGGCUGGCAGCUACCAGUGGAUCCCACUGGAGAAGUCUGUGAGCCAAGCUUAUGUCAGCUUUCGGAUAGCGAUAGGUGAAUAACAGGAGUAAAAAUAAUAAAUACUAGAAGAUCAGGAGCAGUUUGACCAAAACUUAACCCAAAACCUUUUCUUUUCAUCUCAUGGCCAAACUUGCCAUUCAGAUCAGAAGGCUGGGAAGGCUCAAGAUCGGUUUGCACUCACAUCUAGAAAAAAAUCACAGAGCUGCACUGAGGCAAAGCAAUGUUUGGGGUCACAAACCUGUGACUAUUUGUUCUACCCAUAGUUCUUGAGGUCUGAAAAAUGCUUUAACUUCUUGUGGUUUUUUAUACACAUCUGACACCAAGAUUCCUGUUUUCCAGUUCAGAAGACUGUCUCUGCAAUAUUUACUGCCUGAAAAAGAACUGUUUGCAGCUUUAGUUGCAUGACCUUUGUGUGAAGAAUGUCUGUUAGUGUAUAUAGGCAGAAACUAAGGAACAGCACACAAAAGCACAGUGGACAUUAAAGAAAUCAAAACAUGAAAGAUUCUAAGUUACAUUUUGAACAAGUUUUAAGAUUAAUUUCUCCAUCUAUGUGAGGUGAGCCUGGGUUUUGGUAAUAAAAUGUGCUGGAAUUGUGGGUAGAGUGAAAAAGAAGAUUCCUCAGUAAGGGUAAGUGCUGAUGACUUUGUUAAGUCAAGGUGUAAUAUGCUAUUCUGCUGACUUUUGCCUUGUUUAAUUGCCUUCUGAAUCCCAAGAAGCUGAACCAUGCCUCACCAGCUCAUUAUAUCCCCUGGGUUUGCUCUCCCCACCAAAUAGGUGCUUUCCCUGCAGUCUCUGGAGGCUCUUUGUUGCUGUUCUGAUACAUCAAAUGUGUUUGUUUUGCACAUUGAUGUUUGUGUUUUCCGCACUGCUUGUGUUUUCCAAUUCCUUGGAGCACUGAGGAUGCUGCUGAAUUGUCAGAAUCACAGUUGGAUGCUGACUUGAGAUUACUGUCAAUGGCCUCAUUAUGUUAACAAAGGAUAUUUUAAGAAAUACAAAAGAUGUGGCAUUUUCUUUCUUGGGAGAGGGAGGGGGAGAGAGAAUGUGUGUAUGAAUGGACUUACACUGCAACUGCUCCCACUCUUCAGCUGGAAAUGACUGCCAGCCUCUCUCCACUUCGUAGUCAGAGUAAUGAUGGCUUCUGAUUUGUGUUUUGGGGCUGCUCUCAGUGUACUUGGCUCACCCGUGUGUGCAAUUCUUCCUCCUGAAGAGCUCCUCGCCUCUGUCGUGGCACAUCUAAAGCAGGCACAGCCUUCAUAGAUACAGCAGUGGGACUUGCAGCAUCACAGCAUCUUCGUGCAGUUGCAAGUCAGAGGUGUUGUGGUCUCAUUCCCUCCUUCGAGCUAGCACUAGCAUUGUGGCUGGAAAAUUAGUCACUUUGGGAAACUGAGCUGGGAGAGAAGUAAUGCUGUGAGGGAAAAAGUAAUUAAUUCCAUGUCCACUUCCCUUCUGGAGGAACACAGCUAAGUGUGACCAGGGCUAGGGAGAAGUCGGCACCUUAGUUUGUUCUGCUCCCUCCAGAAAUUCUUGAGGAAGAAUAUCAAAGAGGAGGAUAUUGACUGCAAAUCUUCUGUCUUUAAUGAAAUGGAGACUUGUGCACAGCCUGUAUCUCUGAAUCAAAGGGAGAAAGCUCUUUCCCUUCCUCCCUGCUGUCAGGCCAUCAGAAGGUAGUUGGCAUAUCCCUUAUUAAAGGAAAUGUGGUCCUUCCCUUAAGCUUGUCUGCUCAGUGGUGUUCUGUAAACACAGAUCAGUAAGGUGUUGCAAAUCCUAUCCUAUUACCAGCAUUCAACAGCAAAUGAAACACCCUCAAGCCUAGCAUAUUAUCAUUUCAUGAAUUUACAAUUAAGGACCUAGAUAAGAUUAAUUACUUCCAAGGUGACUCUUUACAACUAUCUCUUUAUAAUGGAGUUUGUAACCAGCCCACUGUGGUUUUGUCACCAGGAGAAAUCACAGACAAUUUAACAGUUGGAUAGGAAAGGUUCAUUUAACAGGCCUUUUGCUCCUUCCCUUAUAGUUCCCUUAAGAGAAAAAAAAUCCCCAGGAAAAAGCGCAUCCAGCUGAUAAUGAACUUGGAAAAGAACUGUCUUCAACUGGGGUAUUUAUUUCUGUUGCUCCAAGUAAAAGUAUUUUAGGCAUUAUGUUCUUCCAAAGCCUCCGAGUGGAUCAAAUGUAGCAAUAUUGCAACAGAAUAGAUCUGUACAUGCUGGAUAGAGUGACCAGAUCUCUGACAACAUUUUUUUCCAUACAAAAUGCUGAGACAAGAGGAAGAAAGGAGGCUGUGAAUUCUACCACAAAACAUCAACUGCAUAUUUAUUUAUUUAUUUGUUAACCUGCCUUAUGCCCAGCUGAAAGGGACCAACCUGGGUCCAACAAAGUGCUGGCUCCCAGCUGAUGGGAAGACUGUAAAGCAAAACCCAGCAUGCCACAAGGAACAGGAUGCAGAUGGAUGGGCUUUCCCCAGAGGAGAUGCCACUGCCUAAGAAAGAGCCCUGUUACUCCUGCUCAGGCAAAAUGCUGAUGUUAGUGUGAGAAGAAGGGGAUAGACUCCCUGGGCUGUAUACCUCAACCACAGCCUGACCAGAAAGGAUACAUUAAUUCUAUGUCUGUUCCUGGCCUUCCAAUAUACAGACCAGGGAGUGUUAUCUUUAGAUGAACAUGCUAAAUUUAUCCCACAUGAGACAGUAAUUUCUUUUCUCUUUCCCAAGACAGCAUUCAGGGAAGUUGAUUAGUAGUCGCUGUGCUUGGGGGUCAAAGUUCAAGCAAUAAAAAGCCCUUAGCUACACCCUUCAAAACCAGCAACAAAGGCUGAGAUUUCAGGGUGGUUGUUUUUGAUAGGUGGCCUGCUCUGAAUUUUGAGACUUCUCACUGCCCACGUUUUUCAGUCUGUGAAGUAGAAACCUGUGCUUUUACUUUUGGUACUAACUCCUGAGGGUCUCAGCUCUUGCUCCAGCUCUUGAGAAGAUGGGCUUCCUGGAAGACACCUUAUAUCACAAAAUCUGUGGUAGAAGCCUUGUUUAAGCUUCUGAAUUGUAAUGCAAAAAGCCCACAGGAGUUAGGUGAGAAUUGUGCAACUCCCUUGCAAUCCUUUCCCAUUUUCUAAUGAGCGCUUGUCUGCUCCCUAGUUACAAGAUCAGGAAGCAAUUCCCGUUUCUGAAAUAUCAGCAAACCCUCCUCCACAAAACUGAAAAUGUUUUGAACAUUAAAAUGAGGCUGAGAUUUUUCAAGUUUGUCUGGGGGAGCAGAAUGACUUGUCCCCACUUUGAUGAGAAAAGACUGUAUUGCUACGGUGCCUGGGCAGCUCUGCUUGGGACAUCAUAACUGGGACUUGUCAAUCUGUCACAGGCUGAGAAGGAGCAGCAGCAGAAGACUUGUGCCAUGAGCAAUGCUGGCCAUGAACAUAGAGAAAUCAGAGAGCUCCUGAGCUGCUCUUCUGUGGGUACCUGACUGCAGCUUGUUCAACUGUAAGUCAGUCACUGAAGUUAGCAGCUCUGCCUGAGAGAUAUCUGUAGAACUGAACCAUAACUGGGCUUCAUAAUGCAUUGGCAGCAUUUUUUACUGCAUUUUGACAGAGCACUUGCAUCACAUCAUUCCCAUGGCAUGAGUUGUUUAUCUCUGGAUGAGGAUUAGCACAGCACUGUACCAUUGUUUAGCACAGCUGAGUAAGUGGGUUAGUGUAAUCCUCCUGAGGAUUGCUGUCCUGAAGGGAUUCCUGAGAAGGCUUCAUGCUUGUACCAGGCUUUUAGAUGAUUUAAAAUGAGAUUUUUGAGGAGGCUUUGUGGAAUUUUAUGUGAUGCAGUCUGUCUCUGAGACAUUUGGGCAGUAGCUGGGUCAGCAAAGGCUAUUGCAGAGCUUAAAGACAGUCAGUAUUGGUGUAUGAAGAAAACACUACUGAGACAACAGAUGAACAAAGUAUAACUGACAAAUGAGCACCCCGGUACAGAAUUCACCACAGGGUCCUGCCUGGACAGUUGUGUUUGCUGUUGAUGUCUGGCACUUAUAGAUGUUGCUCCUCGAUAUAUUCUUGUUUUGCAUCAAAGCACUUGCUGCACAGCAAAUCAUGUGCAGCAUUGCUCUUCAGUAGGGGGAUAAGCAUGCUGCCAUGGCACUGUCCAAACACUUGGAAAUCUGUAUCCUAGUGCUUAGAAGAAAGAGCAAACUAGAGGUCCUCAAAGCCACAGUAAUUUGUAUGCUCUGUCUUCUCUUCUUUUUUGCUAUUAACUACUUCAUGAAAUUCUCUGUUUGGAGUCAUGUAGGAAAUUUAGUCCCAGUUCAUGCAUCUCAAAUGCAGAAGAGACCUUUGAAUUAAAGUUACUAAACAAUGUUUUCAGCAGGAAAAGAAAGCGAGCAGCACCACUCUGUCUUAGAGGAACAUUUCUAGACCAAGAAGGUCCUACACAAUAACAAGACAGAAAUUAUAAUAGCUGCAACAGGAGCUUUGAUGAUGAGGGAGAUUUUAAGCAGUCCAGUUCUAAAGCAUAUCCUUGUGCUCCUGGCACAGAUGCAGGCUUCUCUCCCACACACCUCAGUCACUCAUGAAAAGCCAAGUUCUGGAAUUUUAAAAGGCAAAAAUAUUACAGCAACAGCAACAACAAACAUAACAAUCAGAUGUUAAAUGGUUCCUAAUGAUCUUAUCAGUGAGUUGUAUAAUUAGGAAGGAGGAGAAAGAAGCAUUCAACAUUCUUCAGGACCUGGUCAGUUAUUUUACUGUCAGUCAUGAACCUUGACCUUUCUGAAAAACUUUCUGUUGCACUGGGAAUUGUGGAAAAUGUAGGUCCCCUUUUCUCACAGCAUUGCAAGCCUCCCUGUGGAUCAUCUUGUCAAAUUAUCUAAGUCUGCCCCCAGUCAUUAAGAUUUUCAGGCUGGUUUGAGGGGUUCCCCUCCCCAUCCCUGCUGUAGCCAUGCCUUUGCACUUCAGUGUGUUCUUCCCUCAUGCAGGGCAGAGGUGGGUGGCCUGUGCUAACCCCAACUGCUGAAAUCAUCAGAGAGGAUUUUUUAGGAAAUUAAAAAGAGUGUCUUAACCUGGGUUCGUGUGGCACCCCAAUGAGAGAAAUAAUCUAGCAAGCUAAAACAGAUAAUUUUCUGCUGGAUUAAUGAGCUGAAGCAGGUCUUAUGAGCCCCAAAACCAGCAAAAAGAGGGCAAUGGGAACUUCUCCCAGGAGCGAGAAUGGGAACAGAGACAAGCAGGGAUGGGAGGAGGAAGAGCAUUUCACGCUUUUGGCCGCAGCAGCUCCACCAUGACGUGUCAUUUCACCCUCUGUUGUGCUGUUGGGUUUGAAAAUAGCCCUGCUAAAAUAAAACAGGCUGUGGUUUGGGCUUGGGUGGAUUUCAGCAUGCACGAACCUGGAUGAGCUCCAGAACACGGUUCCACCACUUCUUGCACUUGGUCGCAGCAGAGGAAGUGAUUUUGGGAAGCAAAGAGGGGGAAGUGAGACAGCACGGGGCAUACUGAGCUGAAGGGAAAGGGAGUGGGAUUUCUCAGCCUCGCUCAGUCAGUGGUGACUUCAGCCGUGUUGUACAGACCCCUUUCCUGCCGCAGCAGCAGCGGGCACUCAGCCCCAGCCCGCUGUAGCCGGGGCCGUACGCGGUUCCCCUCGGAAGCCGCAGGGUCGGGCGCAGUGGAGCCUCUCCCGCAGGAGCUGCGCUGCUUCGGCCCCUGGGCCGUGCCCUCCGACCACUGCACACCCUGGCUGGUGGGGCUCCCCUGCUGCUGCCCUGACACAGCUGCUGUGAGACAGACUGUGAACCCAGCAUGUAACUUCCUCUGGAAACAGAGUUUGUCGCCUUCUCCUCCACCUCCAGUGACAACUGCUGUGACCUGAGCCAGACCUCUUCACUUUUACAGAAGGGGCCUGACCAUUGGGACCAUUGGUAGCACCUCUUGCAGCCAGUUAAGCUGAAACUCUCUGGAGGUUGCACUUCAGUCAGUUUUAAGCUGCAAAGCUUGAGAGGAAACAGUGUCUGACGUAUUAAACUUUAUACCUUUCAGAAGGUCAGACUUAGUCCACUGGCCUUCAACUGUGAUGUGGGAGCAAGUUGAGUUUCCAUUUCACUGCUUGUUGCCAUAAUGAAAUAUCCCCAUGUUUCUAUCACAACCCUUACUGAAAUUCAGGCUUUGAUGCAAUUGAACUUUGAAGAUAUUUGGCCCUGCUUGCACUGUGACCUAUUUUGCUAUUAAAAGUAAUUUUAAUUUCUUAUUGAUGAUUCCUGUUACUGCUCCCAGCCUACGGUCCUUUGUACAUCACUGCAAUAUCUAAACACAGUUAGUUUUGCCUCAUGACUGUAAGACAGGAGAGUCCCUUUCACCCCACAGCUUGGGAAAUGGAGGCACAGACCAGCUACUUUCUAAUCAGCUGGGCAUACCCCAUUCCUAAUGUGGAUGUCCCAUCCCUGGAAUUGCUCAAGGACAGUUUGAAUGGGGUCUUUGAGCAGCCUAGUCUAGUGAAAGAUGUCCCUGACCAUGGCAGACUUGGAACUAGAGAAUCUUCAAGGUCCCUUUCAGUCCAAACCAUUCUAAGAUUCUAUGAUUAACUAGAGCCCUGGGUUUAGAUCCUUUCUUGGCCAUGGACAAUCUUCAUCACCUCACAUGUGUUUUGUGUUGCUUAUGGGCACUUUGGACAAAGCAUCUGGUACCUUUUGUAUUCUAGGAGGAAAAAAUGAGAUCAGAAAACAAACUUUCUCAGGAACCAGGAGAGACCUAAGCUCCAACCUGAGAACAUAUACUUGAAAGAAUCGCAAAUUAGAUACAGUGCAAACUUUAUUCUUCUCUUCCCGCAAGUGUAAAACCUUCUUGGAGUUCAUAUAUGUUAGGCAGGAAAGACAUCUCAUUUAAUAUACCAACUCUGUGUAUGUAGAAAAAAUGUCAGGACCAGGAUUGAAUACGUGAAUCUGGGGAGAGAAAUCUCAUUUGUGCAACAGAGCAAGAGCUUGAUUUUGGUUAUGAUUUCUCCCCAUUAGCUGGUCCAGAUAACUACCUGACACAUCAAAUCUAGCCAUCCUGCUUUGUGUAAUAUGUAAAUUCAUUUACAGCCAUCUCUUAUGGGGAAGAAGCUAUACACUGUGUGUCCUCUGUUAAUUGUAUUUUUUUAAGAGAGCAAUCAGCAAGCUUUUAAUUAGCUGGUUACCUUAACAGCCUCAGAGAAGGCUGUGCCUGCUUUCUUUCUCACAGACCUUGUACCAUGCUCCUGGAAAGUGCUGAGCUCUUGUGUCAGUAUGAAACAAGAAGGUAAGGUGAAAAUGUGUAAGGUCAACUAAGCUCCACUUCCCCACAAACAGGCAUCUUAAGUUAUGAAGACAAAACCCCAGAGAAGAAAGGAUGCCAAGGGAGAGGGGCAACAGGUGGAGCAAACGUGGAACACAUCCUAGUAAAUCCAUUUUGGACAAGUAUUAGCGCUUCAUCUGUAGCACAUGGCAAUGUAUCACUGUUCCAGCUGCUGAGGCUUUGAACCAUCUUGUGAAACUUGUUCAAAACCCUGGAGGAGGAUUUAGCUCCUCAAGCUCCCCAACCUGUUCCAGCAGGAGUUCGUGGGCAGUCAGCCAUUAUUGGCAGGACAUAUGACCUAAUGCCUGUGCUGGCAUGAAGAAGAGAAGCUGAGGUUGGAUUUAGGCCUCUUUUUAGGAACUAUUUGGCUUUUUCCCUAUA